GCCUGGUUAGCUCAGUCAGUGGAGCAUGUGACUCUUGAUCUCAGGGAUGUGAGUUCAAGCCCCAUGUCUGGUA
rnacentral:tRNA from 1 species